rnacentral:misc_RNA from 1 species
AACGCACAUUGCGCCCCUUGGUAUUCCGAGGGGCAUGUCUGUUCGAGCGUCAUUAUAACCACUCAAGCUAGGCUUGGUAUUGGGGCUCGCACCUGCGGCCCCUAAAAUCAGUGGCGGUGCCGGCUGGCUCUAAGCGUAGUAAUACUCCUCGCUAUAGGGUCCUCCCGGUUGCUCGCCAACCACCUCUAAUUUUCUCAGGUUGACCUCGGAUCAGAUAGGGAUACCCGCUGAACUUAA